rnacentral:rRNA from 1 species
AGAGUUUGAUCCUGGCUCAGGAUGAACGCUGGCGGCGUGCCUAAUACAUGCAAGUCGAGCGGUAAGGCUCCUUCGGGAGUACACGAGCGGCGGACGGCUGAGUAACACGUAGGAACGUACCCCAAACUGAGGGAUAAGCACCAGAAAUGGUGUCUAAUACCGCAUGUGAUCUCCGGAUUAAAGCUACGGCGGUUUGGGAACGGCCUGCGCACGAUUAGAUAGUUGGUGAGGUAAUGGCUCACCAAGUCGACGAUCGUUAGCUGGUCUGAGAGGAUGAUCAGCCAGACUGGGACUGAGAACGGCCCAGACUCCUACGGGAGGCAGCAGUAGGGAAUUUUCCACAAUGGACGAAAGUCUGAUGGAGCAACGCCGCGUGCAGGAUGAAUGCCUUCGGGUUGUAAACUGCUUUUAUCUGUGACGAAUAUGACGGUAGCAGAUGAAUAAGGAUCGGCUAACUCCGUGCCAGCAGCCGCGGUCAUACGGAGGAUCCAAGCGUUAUCCGGAAUUACUGGGCGUAAAGAGUUGCGUAGGUGGCACUGUGUGUCUGUAGUGAAAGCGUGUGGCUCAACCAUAUAUACAUUACAGAAACUGCAGAGCUAGAGGGCGAGAGAGGUUACUAGAAUUCCUAGUGUAGGAGUGAAAUCCGUAGAUAUUAGGAGGAAUACCGAUGGCGUANGCAGGUAACUGGCUCGUCCCUGACACUAAGGCACGAAAGCGUGGGGAGCAAACGGGAUUAGAUACCCCGGUAGU